CCCUUAGAUGUCCGGGGCUGCACGCGCGCUACACUGUAGAAAGCAGCGUGCUUUAAAACCUUUCCUGAAAAGGAUGGGUAACCCCAGCAAAAUUCUACGUGCUUGGGAUAGAGAUUUGCAAUUUUCUCUCUUGAACGAGGAAUUCCCAGUAAGUGCGAGUCAUCAGCUCGCAUUGAUUACGUCCCUGCCCUUUGUACACACCGCCCGUCGCACCUACCGAUUGGAUGGUCCGGUGAAGCCUCGGGAUUGUGGUUCUUGCCGCUUUAUUGUGGCGUGACCGCGAGAACUUGUCUAAACCUUAUCAUCUAGAGGAAGGUGAAGUCGUAACA
rnacentral:rRNA from 1 species